rnacentral:ncRNA from 3 species
GAUCAUUACACAAAUAUGAAGGCGGGCUGGAACCUCUCGGGGUUACAGCCUUGCUGAAUUAUUCACCCUUGUCUUUUGCGUACUUCUUGUUUCCUUGGUGGGUUCGCCCACCACUAGGACAAACAUAAACCUUUUGUAAUUGCAAUCAGCGUCAGUAACAAAUUAAUAAUUACAACUUUCAACAACGGAUCUCUUGGUUCUGGCAUCGAUGAAGAACGCAGCGAAAUGCGAUAAGUAGUGUGAAUUGCAGAAUUCAGUGAAUCAUCGAAUCUUUGAACGCACAUUGCGCCCUUUGGUAUUCCAAAGGGCAUGCCUGUUCGAGCGUCAUUUGUACCCUCAAGCUUUGCUUGGUGUUGGGCGUCUUGUCUCUAGCUUUGCUGGAGACUCGCCUUAAAGUAAUUGGCAGCCGGCCUACUGGUUUCGGAGCGCAGCACAAGUCGCACUCUCUAUCAGCAAAGGUCUAGCAUCCAUUAAGCCUUUUUUUCAACUUUUGACCUCGGAUCAGGUAGGGAUACCCGCUGAACUUAAGCAUAUCAAUAAGCGGAGGAAAAGAAACCAACAGGGAUUGCCCUAGUAACGGCGAGUGAAGCGGCAACAGCUCAAAUUUGAAAUCUGGCUCUUUUAGAGUCCGAGUUGUAAUUUGCAGAGGGCGCUUUGGCUUUGGCAGCGGUCCAAGUUCCUUGGAACAGGACGUCACAGAGGGUGAGAAUCCCGUACGUGGUCGCUGGCUAUUGCCGUGUAAAGCCCCUUCGACGAGUCGAGUUGUUUGGGAAUGCAGCUCUAAAUGGGAGGUACAUUUCUUCUAAAGCUAAAUAUUGGCCAGAGACCGAUAGCGCACAAGUAGAGUGAUCGAAAGAUGAAAAGCACUUUGGAAAGAGAGUCAAACAGCACGUGAAAUUGUUGAAAGGGAAGCGCUUGCAGCCAGACUUGCUUACAGUUGCUCAUCCGGGUUUCUACCCGGUGCACUCUUCUGUAGGCAGGCCAGCAUCAGUUUGGGCGGUAGGAUAAAGGUCUCUGUCACGUACCUCCUUUCGGGGAGGCCUUAUAGGGGAGACGACAUACUACCAGCCUGGACUGAGGUCCGCG